GAAUUACAUCAGCCGUGGUCCAAAUGACACCUGGCACAUUGAUGGCAAUGAUAAACUGAAGUUCUUUGGAAUGUGGAUACAUUUGGGGAUUGAUGGAUUUUCCAGGAAGGUUCUAUGGCUAAAGGUGGGCACAUCCAACCGCAAACAAAACUUUGUGGCCAGAUACUUCUUUGAGGCUGUUCAAGAACAGGGUGGUAUGCAAUAUACUUAAAAAAGGGGGGUUAAAAAAAGAUUACAUUUUGGUUAUAAA